UUGCGGUGCGAGCCAACGCGACCGCGACAAGCAUGAAGCUCUCGAUCAGGCCGGCGCUGAUGAGCGAAGGGAUCUGAACGGGGAGAUGAUCCAGAGACAAGGGACAGAAGCAUUCCAAGCAGAAGAAAAGAAUACGGAGAUAACAAUAUUGGGACCACACUUCUCGGCUCUUGCCAUCUUUGGUCAGAUUAACAUUCCACAUAGUGUGUGAUUAGCACAGACUUAGAAGUCCAGCGUUUGCGCGGCGAAAUUCCCACACAUACAAUAGUGCUUGUGUAAUGCGGAGAAUGCGAGAGUGUAUCUUGCUGCGUGGAAAUUUGAACUGGAGUUCGGGGAGCGGAGAAGUUUUCAGUCCGAAUGGUAUUGGUUUAGGAGGUCCCAGCUUCGUUCGAUACUUAAAUUGGGAGGUGGCGAAUGAAGGAUCCGUGAUUAUGGACUCGAGUGCGAGGUGUUUGGGAAAUCGACGAGCGCCCUUGCGAACUCUGAAGGCAUUGGGAUCGACCACCUGGGCAUAGAGGGAGUUGAAUUUCGUAAACACCGUGUAUGAUUCAUGAAUCUGUGUCUGAUCAUGACAGUGCAUCAUGUAGAAGGGAAUUGGAGCUUGAUUCAAGUGUUCCUUGGACUCCGGACUUGUUGGAGGCUGGACAGUGGAGGCAGCAUUGAUGAGGUCUCGGAAACAGAGUGCUUAUGGCUGCUUGGAAACCAAUGGUGGUGACACAGGAACCAUGUCGCGAAAGGACAGUGCUUCAACGAUGCUGAAAGUGCUCAUUAGGGCACAAACUACGGGGAACGGGUACAGGGCUUUACGACAAUUGCCUGCGGCGAUUUAUUGCAGACGAGGGGGCACGUCGCAAGAUACUGCUUCUCUGUGCAUUGAGCUUGAGAGCGCCUUGGUGGCUAACGAUGUUAAUUACUCCCAGGAAGCGCUAGCGAAUUUGGCCCAGAAUCUAUUUGAGUGGAAUAAUCCCAACCACCAGUCGAACCGGGAGGCUUUUGUGCUGUUUGGGGGGGAUAUUGUGCUCCUUAGAGCAUUGCUUUUAAGUUUUCCGAUCCUGGGGGACGUUGAUAAGCUGAGUUUCACAUUGAAGGUGCUGUACAUCCGAAACGAAUGUUUGAACAUGUUGCGUGAACUGUGCUUUACGGUGCAUCCUUUUAUCGAGUAUUUGGCUGCUGAUGAGGUGUUUGUGGUUAAGCUUUUUGACAUGAUGCGCUUCCGCAACACGUUCAACACUGCUGUUAAUCUUGCAGAAGAGAUUAUGGCAAUUCGGAAAGACCUGUGGCAAGUACAGGAUGUUCCGAAUUUUACAAGUCUAGUUUGCAAUUUCUCCUUAAGACAACUGGCUUCAUUUUGCCGUGUUCUUGAGAUGGUGAUUAUUGAACCCGAGGAGCGGAGUUUAGAAAUUUGUGUGCAACAGGAGUCAAGGUCUGAAGAGCCAGCAUGGACGACGACUGACAAAAACCACGAGGCUAUUCUUCUCGUCCCAGACAUUCUUUCACACCUGGUGAAACUCUUCACAUUGGACAAAGUGUCCUCAAGUCGAGAAGUGAGACAACUGAGCACCUUGAGCAGCUGAAGGCCUAACAAAGAUAACAUGUCAUCCGAACUUUCAGAGCUGGCAUUAUCCUUGUCCAUGCGAGACACAGUAGAAAGAAUGUAUCAUGCUUUCCAUGUUACUCGAGGUCAAUUUUUUGAUGAGAGAGGGGAUGUCAUUCCACAAUUGGAAGGUCGGCAGGAAUCCGAUUCUGCUUCUUAUCUCCAACAAGAGAGAGCAGGUCCAAGUUUAACAGAUGAGAGGAUUUUACAUUGGAACAUCAUAACAUUUCUGGAUCUCACUGGUCUCUCUACCGGCGUGGUACACCUGGCCGCUUCUGUAAGCGGUUUUUGAAAUGACAGCUUUUUUGGUCAUGGGUUAUUUCGCUUUUGCUUUUCAGGAGCAAGAAAUGAGUUAUGUACGAAAGCAAAGAGGGAAAACGAAAUAUCCCAUGACCAAACAAAAAUGCGCUUUGACAUCGAUGGCACAACGAUGUCAAGCCACAGUGAUAGUCCGCUGCUUUGAAUAUUUUGCUUAGAAAUCGUUAUAGAGAAAAGGUAAUUGUUAUUAAUAUGUAAUUGAAUUGUCGAUUGGUUUGCAUCACAAGAUUUAAAAUGUGAUGGUCUUUUACAGGUGCAAAACUCUCUGGCAGAGCUAGGCCUGGUGAAUGUGUUGAAUGACAUGUUCGACAAACUGGACUGGGUGUCGACGGUCACGUGCUCACUCUCGAGGAAUCCAUAGCCUUGGUUGUGCAUGCAAUACGAAGUCGGCCCUAAAUAUACAAUACCUGAGGUUAAUUCACAAUUUUUGUGAUCGCGACAGCUGCAAUCGAACGAACAAGCAGCUAUUAUUAGCUCCAAGUGUCUUCCAUGAGAGCAACUCAUUUUGGAGCAAGGAUACGAAGAAUAUGGAGUCAAGUGGCCUUAGUGUGAAGAUACUGAAGAUGCUGGUGAAUGAUCCUGGAGGCUCAAUGUAUCGGUAGUCCCAUCCACGAUCUGUAGGAAUCUGUUUGUGAUGUUGCGCAUGCAAAUGUAAUGUGGAUAGCAGCAAUUUUCAAUGUGCAUAACUAGCAGAAGUCUGAUGGAGGUUCUGGCUUUCCUCAUGUGGAAGCUUUUUUGCGAGGUGCUGAACAUGAAGAUCAAGAAGUUGUGGCAUCAAUUGGUCUGUUGGAAUAUCUACUAUGUGAAAUUCUGAAAGGAGGAUUUCGAUGUGCUACCUCUCUACACGUUUGUAAUUUGGUGGCAUUUUAAACACGGCCAUACUAUUAUGCCAUUGCAGAACGUCCCAGGCACUGUGAUCCUUGCAACUCAAGUUUUUUCAUUCAUGGUUGUGACUUGAUCAACUUUGAUCUUUUGGGAGAGCUCAUCAAGUUCAACAAAAUUUUAUUCCAGCGUCUUGACUGCCUUUUAGCAGGACACAAGUUUGACCAGUUUGUUGAGAUCUGUGGUGCUGUCUCUGGAUUACUUUAAGAGAUGUCUGGUAGAGACAACACACCCUAAUUCAAGUCCAUAUCCGCGCUCAUUGAAUGAGACAAGCAUGAAUAAAGACGGCUACAGUUAUGGAAGCAAGGAGAUAAAGUACUGCAAGAUUGCUGCCUUCGUCUCAAACAAUACCUUUCGUUUACUGAGAGACCUCAUGUUCGCUGUGCGACUCGAUGAUAUCAACUAGGGUAAUAUGUGUUUUGAAUACGCCCUCAUCAUUUUCAUACUUGUGGAGAGGAACGGAGAGCUCCCGGAAUACCUUCAAGCCCUAAGGGUUGCUAGCAUGGUUUCCGAUCACUUCUGGAGUUUUGGCGCAGCUACUAUCUCGCGAGACGAAGGCGCGAAUGCGUAUCCCUUCAAUUCUCGACCAGCUACCUUUUUCAUAUUGGCUUCACAUUGUAGACUUGCUUUGUUCCCAUCCUGAUUCCCCCUAAUGCUCCUGUACACUUCCCCAAUUGAACUCCUCGACGCCCAGUAUGACUGCGAUUGAACCCACUCUAGGACUGAUUCUGAUAUAAUUGUCAUUGUUGCAUAUUGUGCGUAUUGGUAUUUGCAUUGUGUCAUUUAGCGUCAUAAUGACGCCUAAUUAUACUUUUGAGAGCAUGAAAAGUUGCUUUAUGGUGUAGGAGUGAGGCACUUAGCGUUGCACAAGAGAUAAAAGAGUAAUUUCCGGCCUGCCUCAAGUGUGUGCAAAUGAGUAAUUGUAAAAUAGAUAUGAGCUCAUCUACACGGUAUGUUCGAAUUUCACAAUAAUGUGGAACGAACUGCAAUGAAUAAAAAAUAAAAGUAAAAGAAAUCUGUAUA